rnacentral:lncRNA from 1 species
UCUUCUUUGGCUAAGGCUCUGAGGGAAAUGUGAGUUAUUAGACUUGUAACAUUAGUCUUAGGAACCCAUUGCUUCUUGUUGAUAGGCCUGUGUUGUUUGGGUCUGGGUUGAUAUUGAGUUUGAUGAUGAACAGGGCUAGGAUAUCCAUACAACUUAUAGCAAAAGGGCUUCAGGUGACCAAAUUUCCCACAGUAAUGGCAUCUCCAUCUUUGGUGUUUCU